UACGUAGGGUGCAAGCGUUGUCCGGAAUUAUUGGGCGUAAAGAGCUCGUAGGCGGUUUGUCGCGUCUGCUGUGAAAACUCGGGGCUUAACCCCGGGCCUGCAGUCGAUACGGGCAGGCUAGAGUCCGGUAGGGGAGACUGGAAUUCCUGGUGUAGCGGUGAAAUGCGCAGAUAUCAGGAGGAACACCGGUGGCGAAGGCGGGUCUCUGGGCCGGAACUGACGCUGAGGAGCGAAAGCGUGGGGAGCGAACAGG
rnacentral:rRNA from 1 species